rnacentral:rRNA from 1 species
CCUCCGUAGGGGGAACCUGCGGAGGGAUCAUUACCGAGUUUACAACUCCCAAACCCCUGUGAACAUACCUAUACGUUGCCUCGGCGGAUCAGCCCGCGCCCCGUAAAACGGGACGGCCCGCCCGAGGACCCCUAAACUCUGUUUUUAGUGGAACUUCUGAGUAAAACAAACAAAUAAAUCAAAACUUUCAACAACGGAUCUCUUGGUUCUGGCAUCGAUGAAGAACGCAGCAAAAUGCGAUAAGUAAUGUGAAUUGCAGAAUUCAGUGAAUCAUCGAAUCUUUGAACGCACAUUGCGCCCGCCAGUAUUCUGGCGGGCAUGCCUGUUCGAGCGUCAUUUCAACCCUCAAGCUCAGCUUGGUGUUGGGACUCGCGGUAACCCGCGUUCCCCAAAUCGAUUGGCGGUCACGUCGAGCUUCCAUAGCGUAGUAAUCAUACACCUCGUUACUGGUAAUCGUCGCGGCCACGCCGUUAAACCCCAACUUCUGAAUGUUGACCUCGGAUCAGGUAGGAAUACCCGCUGAACUUAAGCAUAUCAAUAAGCGGAGGAA